rnacentral:rRNA from 1 species
AACGAACGCUGGCGGCGCGCCUAAUACAUGCAAGUCGAGCGAGAAGACGUAGCAAUACGUUUGUAAAGCGGCGAACGGGUGAGGAAUACAUGGGUAACCUACCCUCGAGUGGGGAAUAACUAGCCGAAAGGUUAGCUAAUACCGCGUACGCUCCUUGGACUUCGGUUCAGGGAGGAAAGCGAUACCGUGGGUAUCGCGCUCUUGGAUGGGCUCAUGUCCUAUCAGCUUGUUGGUGAGGUAACGGCUCACCAAGGCUUCGACGGGUAGCUGGUCUGAGAGGACGAUCAGCCACACUGGCACUGCGACACGGGCCAGACUCCUACGGGAGGCAGCAGUAAGGAGUAUUGCGCAAUGGGCGAAAGCCUGACGCAGCGACGCCGCGUGGGGGAGUGAAGGUCUUCGG